AACUUUAAGCAAUGGAUCACUUGGUUCUCGCAUCGAUGAAGAACGUAGCAAAUUGCGAAAAGUAAUGCGAUCUGCAACCUUUGCGAAUCAUCGAAUUCUCGAACGCAUCUUGCACCCUUUGGUCAUCCAAUGGGUACGUCUAGUUCAGUAUCU
rnacentral:rRNA from 11 species